rnacentral:rRNA from 2 species
UACGGAGGGUGCAAGCGUUAUCCGGAUUCACUGGGUUUAAAGGGUGCGUAGGCGGGUAUGUAAGUCAGUGGUGAAAUACCGGAGCUUAACUUCGGAACUGCCAUUGAUACUAUAUAUCUUGAAUAUUGUGGAGGUAAGCGGAAUAUGUCAUGUAGCGGUGAAAUGCUUAGAGAUGACAUAGAACACCGAUUGCGAAGGCAGCUUGCUACGCAAAUAUUGACGCUGAGGCACGAAAGCGUGGGGAUCAAAC